rnacentral:rRNA from 1 species
UCUUCUGGAAAACGGGUGGUAAUGCCGGAUGCUCCAGCUGAUUGCAUGGUGUGUCUGGGAAAGCCUUUGCGGCAUGGGAUGGGGUCGCGUCCUAUCAGCUUGAUGGCGGGGUAACGGCCCACCAUGGCUUCGACGGGUAGCCGGCCUGAGAGGGCGACCGGCCACAUUGGGACUGAGAUACGGCCCAGACUCCUACGGGAGGCAGCAGUGGGGAAUAUUGCACAAUGGGCGCAAGCCUGAUGCAGCGACGCCGCGUGAGGGAUGGAGGCCUUCGGGUUGUAAACCUCUUUUGUUAGGGAGCAAGGCAUUUUGUGUUGAGUGUACCUUUCGAAUAAGCACCGGCUAACUACGUGCCAGCAGCCGCGGUAAUACGUAGGGUGCAAGCGUUAUCCGGAAUUAUUGGGCGUAAAGGGCUCGUAGGCGGUUCGUCGCGUCCGGUGUGAAAGUCCAUCGCUUAACGGUGGAUCCGCGCCGGGUACGGGCGGGCUUGAGUGCGGUAGGGGAGACUGGAAUUCCCGGUGUAACGGUGGAAUGUGUAGAUAUCGAG